rnacentral:lncRNA from 1 species
UGGUAAAGGAUGGCGCGGGCUCAGCAGAAAGGAAAUCAAAACGCUCCCUUCCUUCCGCGGCUUCUUCUUUCCCUGUGUCCGAAGAGGUCUGCGUUGCGACUUACGUGGUAGUGCUUGGAAGAUUGAAGGUGGCGGGUUCCUGUAGUCCCAGCUACUCAGGAGGCUGAGGCAGGAGAAUGGCAUGAACCCGGGAGGCAGAGCUUGCAGUGAGCCGAGAUCGUGCCACUGCACUCCAGCCUGGGUGACAGAGCGAAACUCCGUCUCAAAAAAAAAAAAAAAUCAGUAA